CUGUGCUUCCAGUUGCCAUUAUGCCAUUAUUGUAAUGGUCCAGGCGACAGCUUAACGCACCCACAGGAAAUGCAUGUCCUGAUUGACCACUCUGACCUUUUGCUCCUGCACAUUCAGGCUGCAGUUAAGAUAGCAGUCUGACAUUUCUGUUUUCUCCCUCCAUGUCCGUUCUUCUUACUCUAGUACUUCCUGUGUCGAAUAUCCAGCACACUCCUGAAAUCCAAUACUGCACCACGACAGGUUAGUGUCCAUGCGUUUUGCAUGUUAUAACGGUACAUCUUGGGAGGAUAAUAGCUUUUUUUUUCUUUCUUUUUUUUCUUUUUUGGAACCUACAGAACCUACGAAGUAAUAAUACUUAGCUGUCAUGCAGCUGGUGUCAGGUUUCAGAUGUCUAGGGACAGCUCAUCAUUUUCAUAGGCUGUUUUGUGGCGUAGGCUUCUUCACUUUCCACUUGCUGUUCAUUUAUGGUCGUCCAUCAUAUGGGCUAUUCAUGCACAAAAUAAUUGGCAGACAGGGACAAGCGUGUAAACCCGGACUGUGUUGAAGCGUUUAGCGGAUGGCCACGCAGGCAUUUGUUCUCACAGCAUCUAUGGUAGUGAUGGCGGUCAGAACGUACAUGGAGUUAGGUCACGGUGGCUUAGUGGUUAGCACGUUUGCGUCACACCACCAGGGUCCGGGGUUUGAUUCCGGCCGGGGCCGUGUGUGCGGAGUGUGCAUGUUCUCCCCGUGCUGCGGGGGUUUCCUCCGGGUACUCCGGUUUCCUCCCCCAGUCCAAAGACAUGCAUGGGAGGCUGAUUGGUGUGUCUAAAGUGUCCGUAGUGUAUGAAUGGAUGUGUGAGUGUGUAUGUGAUGGUGCCCUGCGAUGGAAUGGCACCCUGUCCAGGGUGUACCCCGCCUUGUGCCCGAUGCUCCCUGGGAUAGGCUCCAGGUUCCCCCGCGACCCUGAAAAGGAGUAAGCGGUUGAAGAUGGAUGGAUGGAUAUUGUCAUUUUAAGACCAUUUUAUGACACUGAGAUAAUAUCAUAAUAAUAUAAGUACACCCUUUC
ensembl:lncRNA